rnacentral:rRNA from 1 species
CACGUAGGGCGCAAGCGUUGUCCGGAAUUAUUGGGCGUAAAGAGCUCGUAGGCGGUCCGUCACGUCCGCUGUGAAAACCCAGGGCUCAACCCUGGGCUUGCAGUGGAUACGGGCAGACUAGAGGUAGGUAGGGGAGAAUGGAAUUCCCGGUGUAGCGGUGAAAUGCGCAGAUAUCGGGAGGAACACCGGUGGCGAAGGCGGUUCUCUGGGCCUUACCUGACGCUGAAGCACGAAGGCCAGGGGAGCAAACGGG